GACGAACGCUGGCGGCGUGCUUAACACAUGCAAGUCGAACGGAAAGGCCCUGCUUUUGUGGGGUGCUCGAGUGGCGAACGGGUGAGUAACACGUGAGUAACCUGCCCUUGACUUUGGGAUAACUUCAGGAAACUGGGGCUAAUACCGGAUAGGAGCUCCUGCUGCAUGGUGGGGGUUGGAAAGUUUCGGCGGUUGGGGAUGGACUCGCGGCUUAUCAGCUUGUUGGUGGGGUAGUGGCUUACCAAGGCUUUGACGGGUAGCCGGCCUGAGAGGGUGACCGGCCACAUUGGGACUGAGAUACGGCCCAGACUCCUACGGGAGGAAGCAGUGGGGAAUAUUGCACAAUGGGCGGAAGCCUGAUGCAGCAACGCCGCGUGCGGGAUGACGGCCUUCGGGUUGUAAACCGCUUUCGCCUGUGACGAAGGGUGAGUGACGGUAAUGGGUAAAGAAGCACCGGCUAACUACGUG
rnacentral:rRNA from 1 species